UUUCCAAAAAGUUUUCUCAGAUAGGCUACCGCUGGGCCUGCCCUACCGCAACGAUACGCAUCAAGGAGGAUGGAUGGGAGGAAGAGGCCAGGAGGGGCUGAAAAAGCCAGGUUAAAAAAAAGAAAGGCAUUGGUGGAGGAUGCUGCCAAAUGUGCCAAGCUUACCGAUUUAUUUUCAAGAGGACAAACACAAGUGGCAACUGCGGUCUCAACCGUUUGCCUGGAUGAACAGGGUCAAACAUACCAGGACCAGGAGAGUUGGCAGCCACACCCAUGUAUGUCCUGUAAGUGUGAUAAUGGAAACCCAAAUUGUGUUCUGAGCUUUUGUGCCCCCCUGCUCAACUGCCCCCAUCCAGGGGUCGUCCCACAAAACCAAUGCUGCCCUGUCUGCCCAGAGAUGCAAUGAUAUUCAGAUGUUCCUCCUCCUGGCCCCCAACAACAGGGUCGAAGGCCAUGGCCAGGGCAGUGAUCCCACAAGAUGGAUGGGACAAUUAUGCGUGCGGCCAUCUUGUGUUUCUACAUGGAUUUAUUAAAGCUCCAUGAAGCAUGUUGAAUAAACGAAUCAGACCUGACUCCUCAUAGCGUCAUCCUUCUGGUUACUCCUCAUAGCGUCAUCCUUCUGGUUACUCCUCAUAGCGUCAUCCUUCUGGUUACUCCUCAUAGCGUCAUCCUUCUGGUUACUCCUCACAGCGUCAUCCUUCUGGUUACUCUGCACAUCUAGUCCUCUGCACAUCUAUUUUUAAUUUUGUAUGUGUCUACAAUCACCACGGUAAUCUAUUUAACAACAAUAGUGAUGUUACAAGUACCCAUGUCAAUGAAUAUGACAGCCUGAAGCCUUCUAAUUUCAGCAAUUCAUUUUAAAUUCAGCAAUGAAUUCAGCAAUGAAUUUAAUGCAGAAUUAAAUGACUUUCUAUUCCUACAGUAUGCAAUGAUUCAUUCUGAUAUUUUGAUUCUCAACUUUUUUUAAAUUUUUUUAUUCUUCUGAUAUUAAUAACUACAUACACAGAAAUAUUUCUUACUAUAAUAAAUAAAUCGAGUUUAUUCUUAAUGUCAUCAAAAGAUAUAGAAAAGUUCUAAUUGCCUAAUUGAAUUGUUCUAAUUGUUCUAAUUGGCAAGUAAACGUAUAAUAAGCGGGAUAAUGUACAAUCCGACGGUCAGCAUCUGACAAUAAAUCCUUUCAGGUUCGUCCCAUCAGGAUUUAUUUUCCUAUACUGACCGGUGGACUAUACAUUAUCCCUCACAUGUUCACUGGGUGAAAUGAAGGUGUAUCUGGAGAUAUUUUCACUAUAUUUUUCACUUUUUAUGACACUGCAGAUAGAGCAGAAUUAGUCCAUAUCCAGAAGUAGAUCCAGGGUGUAUGAGCCAAA
ensembl:lncRNA